GAUGAAGAACGCAGCGAAAUGCGAUACGUAAUGUGAAUUGCAGAAUUCAGUGAAUCAUCGAAUCUUUGAACGCACAAUGCGCCCGUCAGUAUUCUGGCGGGCAUGCCUGUUCGAGCGUCAUUACGCCCCUCAAGUCCCCUGUGGACUUGGUGUUGGGGAUCGGCGAGGCUGGUUUUCCAGCACAGCCGUCCCUUAAAUUAAUUGGCGGUCUCGCCGUGGCCCUCCUCUGCGCAGUAGUAAAACACUCGCAACAGGAGCCCGGCGCGGUCCACUGCCGUAAAACCCCCCAACUUUUUAUAGUUGACCUCGAAUCAGGUAGGACUACCCGCUGAACUUAAGCAUAUCAAUAAGCGGAGGA
rnacentral:misc_RNA from 1 species